rnacentral:rRNA from 1 species
CCUUUAGAUAUUAAUUUAAGGUCUAAUCUGCCCACUGUGUAAUUGAAUGGCCGCGGUAUUUUGACCGUGCGAAGGUAGCAUAAUCAUUAGUUUUUUAAUUGAAAGCUGGAAUGAAAGAUUGGAUGAGAAAAUAACUGUCUCAAAUUAAUUUUAAUUAGAAUUUUAUUUUUAAGUUAAAAAGCUUAAAUAUUUUUAAAAGACGAGAAGACCCUAUAGAGUUUAAUAAUUUUUUUUAUUUUUUAAAAUUUAAUUGUUUUAAAAGAUUUUAAUUUAAAAAAGUAUUUUGUUGGGGUGACAGAAAAAUUUAAUAAACUUUUUUUAAAUCUUGAUACUUAUAAGUAAAUAAUUGAUCCAAAAAUUUUGAUUAUAAGAUUAAAUUACCUUAGGGAUAACAGCGUAAUUUUUUUUGAGAGUUCUUAUCGAAAAAGAAGAUUGCGACCUCGAUUUUGGAUUAAAAUUAAGUUUUGGUGUAGAAGCUAAAAUUUUAGGUCUGUUCGACCUUUAAAACUUU